rnacentral:rRNA from 1 species
AUGAAGCUGUCUCAAAUGUCAACCCAGUAUCUGAUCCAAUCGACGAUGCGCUUGUUGAUGCAGAUGGCGAGGGCUUGGUUACUUCCAGAUCAUCUAUGUUUUGAAGCAUACACUUUCAGUCUAUGCUUACUUAUUUUACGCUUGUCUGGUGAAACACUAGGUUCAGUUAAUGAGUCUAUUGCUGGAAAGGAGAAGACACCACAACUUAGCACUGACAUUCAGAAAGAUAACUUAACAUUGCCUGGUGAGACGUCAGAUGCAAAUAGCACUCGACAUUUCUUUACUUAUACCCAGGUGCUUUGCUUGCAUUGCAAAACUGCUACAUUCAGCGUGGCAUUUUGCGUUCUGAACCAUCCAUGCCUACUGAUGCUCGAAGCAAUCCGAGCAAGCGGGUCAGGAAGAAGUAGAAACAUAGCAUGGGGGGUGAGGCGUCUUUUGGAGAUCCAAGACUCUUGGUUGACGUUGCUGUAA